ensembl:lncRNA
GCAUUAGUUAACUGUGCUUCAAUGUUUAACCACCCUGCUGUAUGUAUCCGGCACCUCUUUUUUUUUUUUUUUUUUUAGAGAUUUUAUUUAUUUAUUUGACAGAGAUAGAGACAGCCAGCGAGAGAGGGAACACAAGCAGGGGGAGUGGGAGAGGAAGAAGCAGGCUCAUAGCGGAGGAGCCUGAUGUGGGGCUCAUAGCGGAGGAGCCUGAUGUGGGGCUCAUAGCGGAGAAGCCUGAUGUGGGGCUCAUAGCGGAGGAGCCUGAUGUGGGGCUCGAUCCCAUAAUGCCGGGAUCAUGCCCUGAGCCGAAGGCAGACACUUAACUGCUGUGCCACCCAGGCGCCCCUAGAAUAUACUUUAGAAUAUACUUUAGGGGCGCCUGGGUGGCGCAGUCAGUUAAGCAUCUGCCCUUGGCUCAGGUCAUGAUCCCAGGGUCCUGGGAUGGAGGCUUGCAUCGCAUCGGGCUCCCUGCUCAGCGGGGAGCCUGCUUCUCCCUCUGCCCCUCCCUUUGCUCAUGCUCACAGGCGCUCUCUCUCAAAUGAAUAAAAUCUUUAAAAAAAAAAAAAGAAUAUACUUUAUAGAAGAGUUUUGAUAUCUUUCCUAAUUCUAAUUCUAAUUCUAAUUCUAAUCUAUUCUGACUUGUUUGCUACUGAUUAUUUUCCCCUUAUUAUGGGUCAUAUUUUCCAUGCCUGUUUGGCAAGUCUGAUAAUUUUUUAUUAGAUGUCAGACUUUGUGAAUUUAACUUGUUGUUUGCAAGAUAGUUUAUAUUCCUAUAAAUUUUAUUGAACUCUAUUCUGAGAUGCAGGUAAGUUACUUGGAAACAGUUUGAUCCUUUUAGAUGUUAUUGUUUAUUUAUUUAUUUAUUUAAUAUUUUUCCCCUUAGGUAGCACAGGAAUAGUAAUCAGUAUGAGGACAAUUAUUCUGUAUUACUGAGGCAAGGGUUCUCUUCAUAAAUACUUGUGAAUGAUAGAAUUUUUCAUUUCUCACUGUUAGAAGCAAACAUUAUUCCUAGCUAUAUGUGAGCACUGGAUACUACUACCACUAAUUCUUUGAGAGUGGUUCAUUCUCCUGAUUCAAGUAAUCUCACGUAUCUGCUGGCCCAGCCUCAGCUGAAUUCCAGACAGGGACCUUCUGCAGAUCUCUGAAUUUCUAUCUCUUUGUACUUUCUCUAAUAGUCUACAUGUGAACACUUACUAUCUUGCUGUCCCCAGACUCAGCUCUCUGUCCUCAACUUUGCCUGCAUUCUUGCUCACAGGAUUUGAAAUGUUUUCUAGGAAGUAAGUUAUUGGACUCAUAUCAUUUGUUUCCUGUCUCUCAGGGAUUACUUUCCCUUAUUGCCCGAUGUUCAUUGCCUUGACAAUUCUUAUCACUUAUAUUUAUCUACAGUUUGAUUUUUCAGGUAGUAGUACCUUGACCUGGUACUCCAACUUGACCAGAAUUAUAAAUCCUGUUCAAAUGUGUUUCGACUUAUCCUAAUUUAUAAUCAUUAAGGUGCUUGAGUCAGGAUUUAAAUGUGUUAUCCUGGCUGAAAGCUAAGUCUCUAUUUCUGAAUAUAAAUUUGCAUAAUUUAUAAGAAUUUAGCAUUAUACACUCAUAGCACUUAGCUAAACAACACACACACACACACACACACAUACACGCACCCCUAACUGUGUGUAUUGUGUAUAUAUGUAUAUUCUUCAACUUGAGUGAUAUAUUGCUAAUUUGAUUCACUCAUUCAUUUAUUCACAUAUUCAUUUACUUACUUUUUAAGUAUGUAUCAGCUACCUCCUUUGUGCUCACCAUGCUGAUGAACAUGAGGCAGACAGCAUGAAGAAACAGAAAGUUUUCUAUUGUUAGGGAUCUUAGUUUUAGAGCAAACUAGUCAAUAAAGUAAUACAUUUGUUCCACAGUAGUACACUGUGAAUCAGAUGAUAGUUAAACAUCCAUUGAAAAUGUAAUUUUAAAUUUAGAAAGAAGAUUCCAGAUAAUGGAAGUUUUAAAAUUUUAAUUCUGUGUGUGUUUUUAGAAACAGGCCUAAUUUUCCUAUAUAUAAUUCAAGGGGCUUGGAAUUGUUUUUAAUGUGCACAAAAGUUAGCUUAAUAUCUAAGAUAUUCCCUCUCCAUGCCACCUUUCCACAUACCCGCGUUCUUCUAAAAUUCUUUGGUUUUUUUUAUGCAUUUGAUGAUGCUUGAUUAAUACCAGUAUUUCUUAAGCCAGCUCUUUUCUCCCAAAGAUACAAUUUCAAGUUCAUAGUUCACAUUUUCUUUUUCUUUUAUUUCUUGUCAUUUGUUACAAGCAUGAAAUAAUAAAUUACUUUUGCUAAUUUUACUUCAUUUUAAAUUUUUUAAAAAAUAUUUUAUUUAUUUCACAGAGAGAGAGGGAGAGAGAGAGCACAAGCAGGGGGGGCAGUAGAGGGAGCUGCAGAGGAAGAGGGAGAAGCAGGCUCCCCACUAAGCAGGGAGCCUGGUGCAGGCCUCAGUCCCAGAACCCUGGGAUCAUGACCUGAGCUGAAGGCAGACAUUUAACUGACUGAGCCACCCAGCCACAGCCAUUUUAUUUUUUAAUUAUUUUUAGAAAUGUAUUAUUUCUUUUUUCCUAUGCUAUAAAGUAUGAGUAAUACAGAAUAUAUAAAAUAUGAAUAAAACAAUAUUUUCCUUAACUACUAUCAUGGCAUUGAUUAUUUAUAUACAUUAAAGUUUCUGUAAGAAAACAGAACAAGGAAUAAAAAUCAAAACCUCUGUAUACAAAGAAUUUCUAAUAUUUUUUCUUUAAUUGUAACAUUAUAAACACUCUUACGUAUUUCUACAUAAUUUAGAUAAGAUGUAGUUACUUUGAUUGCAUAAAGUAUGAUUAAAAUACCCAUACAAAUUAUCAAUUUCUGAAAUUUUAAACAAAUGUAUUUUAAUUUUCUUUAAUUUCAAGGUUACCAUGUAAAUACCAAAUUAAAAUCCAUACUUGAAA